GAUGAACGCUGGCGGCGUGCCUAAUACAUGCAAGUCGAGCGAAUGGAUUAAGAGCUUGCUCUUGUGAAGUUAGCGGCGGACGGGUGAGUAACACGUGGGUAACCUGCCCAUAAGACUGGGAUAACUCAGGGAAACCGGGGCUAAUACCGGAUAACAUUUUGAACCGCAUGGUUCGAAAUUGAAAGGCGGCUUCGGCUGUCACUUAUGGAUGGAACCGCGUCGCAUUAGCUAGUUGGUGAGGUAACGGCUCACCAAGGCAACGAUGCGUAGCCGACCGGAGAGGGUGAUCGGCCACACUGGGACUGAGACACGGCCCAGACUCCUACGGGAGGCAGCAGUAGGGAAUCUUUCGCAAUGGACGAAAGUCUGACGGAGCAACGCCGCGUGAGUGAUGAAGGCUUUCGGGUCGUAAAACUCUGUUGUUAGGGAAGAACAAGUGCUAGUUGAAUAAGCUGGCACCUUGACGGUACCUAACCAGAAAGCCACGGCUAACUACGUGCCAGCCGCCGCGGUAA
rnacentral:rRNA from 1 species